ensembl:lncRNA
AUCGAUCCACCUUCAGCAACUUCCCCUGAAGAUUAGUACUAGCACUGACCACAUCACCCACAUUAUGUCAGACUUUGAGCGUUUCAUGCUGUAUAUCAGAGAUAAAUACAAUGAGGUGAGGUUGUGAUGUUUAUUGGGUUUCAUCUACACGCACAGACAUACAUUCACUACAGUAAGAGCACAUGCCAUAAAAAAGAGAAACUUGAGGAGUAAUAUGAUUCAUCUACUACAGUAACAGAGCAGAUCAGCCGUCACAACACCAGACACAUGAUGAGCAGCAGCUGACGUCUUUAACACAGGACUCCUCAGCUCUGGGCCUCCGGAUCACGUCAGACCCAGCUGCUGUAGUGUUCUAGUGACCCUGAACACCCGGGUUAGCUUGUUCAGAUCAUCAGCUCACUAGCAGAGAGUCCAAGGCCUGAAAUGGGUGUCAGACAAAAGAGAGCUGCAAACUGUGUCUUACUCGAGUUAUUCAGCGCAAAAAACCUGCGAGAACGCCGUGCAUGUGUUUCAGAGAGCUUCUGUCUGCAAAACCCCUCCGAACCCUGUUCCUCAAGUGCGUGAGCGUCAGGUCAGUGUGUUUAACGGCCUUAAAACUGGUCUCGUAGCGCACACACACACACACACACACACACACACCGCCUGUAGAACAAAACAACAAUCAUAUGAGCUUAUAACAGCUGCUUCUAAUCUAUUACAUCUACUGUACAUGCUAAUGUUCUGCUAAUGACACACUGGUGCGAUUAACUGACAGGUCACUGGGGUUAUACGAGAUCAUUUGACAGACCAUCACAAAUAUUGCUCUUCUAAAACAGCGACGUCUAAUAUUAAAUGUCAGAAAGAUGACGAUGUCUGAAGAGCAUCUCUUCCGGUUCUGAAGACUCAGUACAGCACAGAUUCCCUCUUUCUUCACAAGCUAAUGAUGAAUGUGUGAACGAGCAGUUAUUCUGGUGCUGAUGAAGGGAUGAUGGUGGUCUUCUACUGUGUGGUGUUUUUGUUUCUUUAACGGUUUGCUGUGGAUCUUCAUCCCUGCUCUUCCUCACUGGCGCUGUUGGACCGAUCCUGAACAAACAAACACACGAUGAUACAAUGUUUUUCGUGUAACGCCACAAGGAAGUGUAAUAACGUUUUUUUUCCUGUUAUCAUAAAUGAUAUAUUUAAUAAUGCACAGAAUGACAUGAAUAGAUCAUUGUUUGCAGAUGAUGGGGAGCUUUGGAAACGUGGGAAAAAUGUGGAAUAUGUAGUUAAGAAAAUACAGGAAGGAACACAUCAGGAUGAAAAGUGGGGAAUGGAACGAGGUGUUAAGUUUUCUGCUAAAAAAUCAAAAAUGAUGUUUUUUUUCAGGAAAGAAAAAUAUAUUCAACAAACUGUAUAGGAAUAAUCUGGAAAGAGUUGAGAGUUUAGUUUUUUGGGGGUGUGGUUUGAUUCACGACUAACAUGGAGAUCACACAUUAAACAAGUAGAGGAUAAAUGUAAAAAAGAAUUGAAUAUAUAUGAGGUGUCUUACAGGACUGGAGCGGGGAGCAGAUUUUAAUUUAUUAAAAUAUAUAUUUCCCUAAUAAGAUCUAGGUUGGGUUAUGGGAGUCGGGCAUUUGGAUCAGCAGCAGGAUCAGUAUUAGCGAGGCUGGACACACUUCAGGCACUGAGAUUACAUCGGAGCUCAGCCUGAGACAGAAGCAGCUGCUUGUAAAUUACUGGAUCCGUUUGAAGAGACA